UAACGGCCCACCAAGGCAUCGACGGGUAGCUGGUCUGAGAGGACGAUCAGCCACACUGGGACUGAGACACGGCCCAGACUCCUACGGGAGGCAGCAGUGGGAAUCUUGCGCAAUGGGCGAAAGCCUGACGCAGCAACGCCGCGUGCGGGAUGAAGGCCUUCGGGUUGUAAACCGCUUUCAGUGGGGACGAACCAAGACGGUACCCACAGAAGAAGCCCCGGCCAACUACGUGCCAGCAGCCGCGGUAACACGUAGGGGGCAAGCGUUGUCCGGAUUCAUUGGGCGUAAAGAGCUCGUAGGCGGUUCGAUAAGUCGGGUGUGAAACCUCCAGGCUCAACCUGGAGACGCCACCCGAUACUGUCGUGACUAGAGUCCAGUAGGGGAGCGUGGAAUUCCUGGUGUAGCGGUGAAAUGCGCAGAUAUCAGGAGGAACACCAGCGGCGAAGGCGGCGCUCUGGGCUGGAACUGACGCUGAGGAGCGAAAGCGUGGGGAGCGAACAGGAUUAGAUACCCUGGUAGUCCACGCCGUAAACGUUGGGUACUAGGUGUGGGGUCUUAUCAACGGAUUCCGUGCCGAAGCUAACGCAUUAAGUACCCCGCCUGGGGAGUACGGCCGCAAGGCUAAAACUCAAAGGAAUUGACGG
rnacentral:rRNA from 1 species